rnacentral:lncRNA from 1 species
UCUACAGCAGUUCUCGACUUGGGUGCGGUCUUAUGACAUGGCUCUCGUCUUCUCUUCCUCUUCGGUGGCUCAUCAGACUCCUCCUCAAUUAGCUCAACGUCUUCGUCCACUAGCAGUUUUUUUGCGGCAUGCCUCUUCGAGGGCCGAAAAGUGACCGCUAUCUGCUGAUCUGUACCUAGGCUGAUAAAGAACUCAUGGCCUUCUUCCCGAGGAGUAGGUACCAUAGGCCGAAUUAUAAGCUACACAACAUCAAUAAAAAGUGUUAACAAAUAUCUACUGUGUAUGAUAACUUCUACUGUGUAUGAUAACUUCAACUGUGUAAUAAUAAUCUACUGUGUAUACUAACUUCUACUGUGUAUGAAGUGUUCAACUGUGUAACAACAAUUAACUGUGAACGACAUAUAUCAACUGUGUAUGAAGAAUUCAACUGUGUAUCAAGUAAUCAACUGUGUAACUAUGUGCAAGCUAUCGAAAAAAUCAGAAAACCCAAUAAAACAAAAUCUAAGAAAGGUUACCUGACGAUUGAAUAACUCUGAAAAGUCAAUGGAAGGAACAGCACGCGUGUCCCAGUGCAAACAACGAGGAAUGCUCAUCUCGCUAUCACGAUUCCCACACAAGCCUCCCAAUUUUGGUAUCAC